ACCUAGCGAGCAUUCGACCGUAUUUGCUACGAUCAUCGAUGGGGAUGAAGAUUAAGAGAAAGAGCAGACCCAAUAACCCGCCCAAAAAAAAAAAAAAAAAAAAAAACAGAGGAUUUUUAAUAAGUUUUUAACUUUGUGUCCUGUAAGAACAAACAGAGAACAGAGAGGGUGUGUGGAUAUACAGGAGGGAGAGAGAAGGGGGAAGGAAAAUGAGGGAAGAGAUAACGAUAGCGACGUUCAAGUGGACGGAGCCAAGCCAGAUGACUAUGGCCGUCACGGAGUGGAAUAGGUUUGAGGAGGAGGAGGAAUGCUCAUCACCACCGAACUCUCUGAAUCCACCCAUGUCACCUCUUGUUCUUUCUUUUCUUUGGUUUGUCCGCUUCUCACAGACCAACGAACAGAUGUAUAGAGAUCCUCCUAGAGAGAUCUCUCUUCUCUCUCUCUCUCUUGGGAGUUGGGAGAGAGCCCAACCAUCCAACCAACCAAAUCUUUAACUAAACCCAUCUUUAAAGAGCCCAUUCAGUUUUCAUUACUAAUCGCUUUGUUAAAAAAAAUAUCUCCUACACUAAAGUACAUCACAUUACUGUUGGGCCAAUGUCUUUCCAUCUGUAAUCAUGGUUCACAAAUUUGUAGUUGACAUUCAUUUCAUAUGCUCUCUCAUACAAACCAAUUAAACACUGUGAUUUUUCCAUCUAAGAUCACGCAAUGUCUUUCCACAACCAAGUUGAAAUCUGUACUGCAACACAUUACGGUCAGCUCCGGACGUUUCAGAAACUCUUUGAUUGUUUGUUGACCCCUAUCUUUCAGAGGGAUCAUCAAUAAAAGAUAGGAUGAAACUGACUCUUUCUGUGGUCUAAACCAAAAGAUGCAUGCCUCCAUUAACUUGGGAAUGCUGAGAUGAGCAUUAAAUUGCAGUCAGCUUCUACCAUUAGUUUACUUGUCUAGCUACUGAGUUGACUCCUUGGAACAUGACAUUGUUACAAUUCAAGCAAGUAAUAUAUAGUGAACUGUGAACAGAAACAAGCUCCUUUUAACAAUGCAGAAUGAUCUUCAUAAGUAUGUGGAGUGGAGGACAACAAGAAUCACUUUUUAAGUUGCAAAAACCCAUAGAGUUUUUUUUAACGAUAUCCAUCUCUUUUAUCUUGUUCCGCAGCUUCCUUAUUAGCAGCUUCAACUGAUUUGAACCAUAAGAAUACCUGCCCACAUAUAACCCCCACCACUUUGUUCAUAAAAAAAAAAAAAAAAAAAAAAACAGAGGAUUUUUAAUAAGUUUUUAACUUUGUGUCCUGUAAGAACAAACAGAGAACAGAGAGGGUGUGUGGAUAUACAGGAGGGAGAGAGAAGGGGGAAGGAAAAUGAGGGAAGAGAUAACGAUAGCGACGUUCAAGUGGACGGAGCCAAGCCAGAUGACUAUGGCCGUCACGGAGUGGAAUAGGUUUGAGGAGGAGGAGGAAUGCUCAUCACCACCGAACUCUCUGAAUCCACCCAUGUCACCUCUUGUUCUUUCUUUUCUUUGGUUUGUCCGCUUCUCACAGACCAACGAACAGAUGUAUAGAGAUCCUCCUAGAGAGAUCUCUCUUCUCUCUCUCUCUCUUGGGAGUUGGGAGAGAGCCCAACCAUCCAACCAACCAAAUCUUUAACUAAACCCAUCUUUAAAGAGCCCAU
rnacentral:lncRNA from 1 species